rnacentral:rRNA from 1 species
CCUAAAGAGUCGUUCAAGACCAGGACGUUGAUAGGUCAGGUGUGGAAGCGCAGUAAUGCGUUAAGCUAACUGAUACUAAUUGCUCGUGAGGCUUGACCCUAUAACUUUG